rnacentral:rRNA from 1 species
CCUACGGGCGGCAGCAGUGGGGAAUUUUGGACAAUGGGGGCAACCCUGAUCCAGCCAUUCCGCGUGAGUGAAGAAGGCCUUCGGGUUGUAAAGCUCUUUCGGCCGGGAAGAAAUCGCAUCUCCUAAUACGGGGUGUGGAUGACGGUACCGGAAGAAGAAGCACCGGCUAACUACGUGCCAGCAGCCGCGGUAAUACGUAGGGUGCGAGCGUGGAUCGGAAUUUGCGGGGGCGAAGCGUGCGGAGACGGGUGAAAUCCCCGGGCUUAACCUGGGAACUGCGUUUGUGACUGGUGGGCUUGAGUGCGGCAGAGGGGGGUGGAAUUCCACGUGUAGCAGUGAAAUGCGUAGAGAUGUGGAGGAACACCGAUGGCGAAGGCAGCCCCCUGGGUCGACACUGACGCUCAUGCACGAAAGCGUGGGGAGCAAACAGGAUUAGAUACCCUUGUAGUC